rnacentral:sRNA from 1 species
UAACUCAUAUGUUGGUUGAAGAACAGCUUAAAGAUGGUCAUUUAGAACCUAUGAUCAGCCCUUGGAACACACCCAUUUUUGUUAUUAAGAAAAAAUCGGGUAGUUGGAGGUUAUUACAGGAUCUAAGGUCAAUAAAUCAUGUAGUUCAACCUAUGGGAGCAUUACAAUCUGGACUUCCUUCCCCCACAGCUAUUCCUUUAGAUUAUACUUUAAUAAUAAUAGAUUUAAAGGAUUGUUUCUUUUCUAUACAGUUACAUCCUGAUGACUGUGAGAAAUUUACUUUUAG